rnacentral:rRNA from 1 species
CAUGCAAGUCGAACGAAGUAGCAAUACUUAGUGGCAGACGGGUGAGUAACAUGUAGGUAUCUGCCCUUUGGCCUGGAAUAACACGAGGAAACUUGUGCUAAUACCGGAUAAGUCUUUACGGAGAAAGCUUUAUGCACCAUUGGAUGAGCCUGCACUUGAUUAGUUUGUUGGUGGGGUAAUGGCCUACCAAGACUGUGAUCAAUAGCUGAUUUGAGAGGAUGAUCAGCCACAUUGGGACUGAGACACGGCCCAAACUCCUACGGGAGGCAGCAGUGGGGAAUCUUGCACAAUGGAGGAAACUCUGAUGCAGCGAUGCCGCGUGAGUGAAGAAGGCCCUUGGGUUGUAAAGCUCUUUCGUCGGGGAAGAAAAUGACUGUACCCGAAUAAGAAGGUCCGGCUAACUUCGUGCCAGCAGCCGCGGUAAUACGAAGGGACCUAGCGUAGUUCGGAAUUACUGGGCUUAAAGAGUUCGUAGGUGGUUGAAAAAGUUAGUGGUGAAAUCCCAGAGCUUAACUCUAGAACUGCCAUUAAAACUUUUCAGCUAGAGUAUGAUAGAGGAAAGCAGAAUUUCUAGUGUAGAGGUGAAAUUCGUAGAUAUUA